GUGCCAGCAGCCGCGGUAAGACAGAGGGUGAAAACGUUGUUCGGAAUUACUGGGCGUAAAGCGUGUGUAGGCGGCUAAGUAAGUCGGAUGUGAAAGCCCCGGGCUCAACCCGGGAAGUGCACUCGAUACUGCCUAGCUAGAGUGUCGGAGAGGUUGGUGGAAUUCUCGGUGUAGAGGUGAAAUUCGUAGAUAUCGAGAGGAACACCGGUGGCGAAGGCGGCCAACUGGACGAACACUGACGCUGAGACACGAAAGCGUGGGGAGCAAACAGGAUUAGAUACCCCCGUAGUCC
rnacentral:rRNA from 1 species